GUUGGUCAGGGUUGGACAAUCCAGUGACUUAUAUUAAGCAGGCCCAGCCCAUUCAUCAUGGCGGCACUGCACUGAGUUGUAAACUGUUCCUGGUGCCUGUUUCAAGGCAAUACAUAGUUUUAGGAGCUGGCUAGAUAUUCAAAGGGUUUGCUAGCCAUCAAUUUAUACUUUUAACCUUUCUAGUGUUUGCUGUUUUUGGAAGAAAAAAUAUAUCCAUCAAUUCAACUGCAUAUAAGUACUGUUCAUAAUUUAUGGCUAGGGGUGUGAUGAUGAUUUAAAGGGUGGGGUCACGCACUUUGUUCUGGGGAAGUGGGUGGGGACUUCAGUUUUGUACUCAUGUACUGGGGGAGUGGGAGGUCACUUACUUUGUACAUAAAUUUUAAUGGGGGAGGGGGUCAUUCACAUUGCACAUGCUUCUCCAAAACAAAACAUCAUCCUAGUCAUAAAUUAUGAACAGUCCCUAAAUCAUUCAAGCUAGGGCUGGGACGAUACACUAUGUCAAGAUACGAUAUGUAUUGCGAUAUUUUAUCUGCAAUACGAAACGUAUUGCAAUACAUACACCUUGAAAGCAUGACACAGUAAUAAGAUUUAAAAUAAUUUAUUUCAAUAUCACUCUUGUAAUAAACAAACAAGUAACUCUAUCAUACUUGUGCAUUUUGCUCUAAAUAAACACUUUAACAUGUUUAAGAUAAUAGUGUUUUGAAAAAAAAAGUCAUGUAUCAUUUUGUAUUGAUACACCAGUUGACGAUACGAUAGCUGUAUCAAACUUCAAUGUAUCAUGAUGUAUCGGUGAAUCGUCCCAGCCCUAAUUCAAGCAGCACCAUAGUCAAAUUGUCUUUGUGUUAUGUGGGAGGUAUACAUAAAGGACACAGCUGAGAAAUAAUAAAUAUAUUUACUGCUCUGC